AGCGAACGCUGGCGGCAGGCUUAACACAUGCAAGUCGAACGGGCGUAGCAAUACGUCAGUGGCAGACGGGUGAGUAACGCGUGGGAACGUACCUUUUGGUUCGGAACAACCCAGGGAAACUUGGGCUAAUACCGGAUAAGCCCUUACGGGGAAAGAUUUAUCGCCGAAAGAUCGGCCCGCGUCUGAUUAGCUAGUUGGUGAGGUAACGGCUCACCAAGGCGACGAUCAGUAGCUGGUCUGAGAGGAUGAUCAGCCACAUUGGGACUGAGACACGGCCCAAACUCCUACGGGAGGCAGCAGUGGGGAAUAUUGGACAAUGGGCGCAAGCCUGAUCCAGCCAUGCCGCGUGAGUGAUGAAGGCCCUAGGGUUGUAAAGCUCUUUUUGUGCGGGAAGAUAAUGACGGUACCGCAAGAAUAAGCCCCGGCUAACUUCGUGCCAGCAGCCGCCGU
rnacentral:rRNA from 1 species